CCUGGCCGUGGGCAGGACCCGGGCCUGGCCAUGGAGCCGGCUGGCCGCUCUCCCCAGGGUUCCCCAGCUGAGGCCCAGACCCCAGGACCUCAGAAUGCGACCGCAUGGAGACAAGGUCUUUGACUAAGCUACCAGGGGCCCCUGGGGUGGCCCUGACGCAGCCUGACUGGGGUCCACGGGAGGACAUUGGGCAAGCUGGCCCCCCGCCAGUCAGGGCGACGUCAGAGGCCGCAGCCUGCCACGCCCUGCCCUUGGACGUCAGCCCAGAGCCAGGUGGGAGGAACAGCUGCGGUGGCCCUGCCGUCCAUCCGUGCCCUGGGCCUCCCAGCACGACUCCCCACUUCCCCAAGGCCAGCAGAGGACUCUUCCCAUGGGACAGACACAGAGUCGCUCACAGCAUGAGUGACAAUGCCGCGGCCUGGCUCACACUCAGCAGGAGGGAGGAGCUCACGCUGCAGAUCCCAGGAGGGGGACUGUGGGGCCUCCUCAGAGUCCAUCCACCCCACUCAGCGUCCUGACCUGCUCAUUUGCUCUGGGAGGUUGUUCAAGUAAGAGUAAGGCUGACUGUGGCCCCCCGCGGCGCGCCUGGACCUCACGUGUUCUCGCGCCCACGGUACACCAGUCAGGACAGGUUAGGUUUUGCCGCAGUAACGAAUGACUCCAAAUCCCAGCUAAACAAACAACCGCGGUUUCUCCCUUUUCCUUGGUGGGUCACGCAGACCUCAGUGCUCUUGGUAAACACAAUGGCCACCACGAGGCGGCAGCCAGUGGCUCACAGGCUCUUGAAAUGAGUCACAUACCAGUGUGGUGGCCACGCCUGCAAUCCCCGAGACUUGGGAGGCUGAGGGAGGAGGAUCGCAAGCUCUAGGCCAACCUCAGCAACUUGGCAAGGCUCUGAACAAUUUAGGGAGGCCUUGUCUCAAAAAAAAAAAAAGAAAAAGGAAAAAGUUUGGAGGGGCCAGAGACGCUGCUCUGGGGUAACGUGCCCACAGCGUGUGGCCUCAGGACUCAGAGGUAAGCUGCACGUGACCUGCGCUGAAGCUUCAUCACCUAGAGAACCCAGUCGCUGCCCCCACCCGCUGUGUGACAAGAUGGGCACAGUGAUACCUGCAUUUUCUGAGGAGAAAGCCGAGGCUCAGAGAGGUUAGGAGUCUUGCUCAAGAACCCACAGCUUCAAGCAGCUAAGCAGAGGCGUCCCCCAUGGGCUCAGGACACCCCCAUCCUCCUCCCCAGGCCUGGUUUAUGAUCCGACCUGGGCCACACACGCGCGUGAACACACUCACGCUCACAUGCGUGCACCGCCCUGAGCGUGGCAGGGGUGGCGUGGAGCAUGGGCUGAGCCCCCCCACCCCGGGCUCAUGACACGGUGAUGACCAAGGACGGGUCCAGGGAGCCGCGCUGCAGGGACCUCUGUGUCUGAGCCUCGGUCCCUGGGGUCAUCCUAGAGGCCCUGGGGUCCUCCUGGUGAUCUCUGGCACCGGGCAGCCGGCCAUCAGCUCCCGCGGGUGGGUGUGUCUGGCUCGCUGUGUCCCCAGGACCAGGCGGGCGCCGGGCAGGGCCUCGAGGGCUCUGCAGACAGCGGGCUCCCGGCCCACUGGACCUGCCCCAUGUGGACGGUGGACCGGACUGCUUCUCUGUCCCCCAGGACAGGGCCACCUACUGUGGUGGCCCCAGAGCCCCCGGCGUCCCUGCUGCUCUUUGUCCUGUGUGUGUGUGUCCAGCCCCCUGGUGGCCCCUGCCUCAGCUUCCAGUCACCCCCAGCCUCACCAGGCUCUGGCCAUGGUGGCACACCUGGACGGUGCAGCGAUCCAGCCCCCAGGCUCCUGGUGGCCACGUGGCCCCCUGAGUCCCUUGGUCACCGUCAGACAGGGGGAUCCUGUCAGAGCCCCAGGCCCGCGGCAGGGAAGCUCCACCCGAGGGUCCCUGCGGCUCCCACCCCAGAAAAAGCCAGAGUGUGACGUGACAAGCCCCCUGCAGCCGGUCCCCUCCCCGUCUGUCCUCAUCUCCCACCUGUGGCCCUGUCACUCACCCAGCACCAGACUCUUGGUGGCCUCUCACGGUUGCCAGCCCCCACACUGGGUCACGGGGACAGCCUCCCGUCCCCUCCCUGACUAUGGGCCCCGGGGUGGGCAGUGGCCUGUCUGGUCCUGUGACCUGGGGCAGGGGUCCCACAGGGCUGGGAGGGGCCCCUGCCUGCUGCAGAGUGUGCCGCGGGUGGCCCCGGUGGUCCCAGAGACCAGGGCCCCUGAGCAGCCGCCCCAUCGCGGAACCCACUGCCCCCUGACCUCUGGCUUCGGCUUCCGCCAGGAGCGCGAAGCCGACGUGAGGGAACGUGUGGGGGCGGGGGGCUCUCGAGACCCUGGAGUGAGCUCCUCUGUGCUCCAGAACAGCCUCGGGCCUGGAGGGAGCGGGAGGCGUGUGGAGGGGCCGAGGCUGGACCGGCAGGCCUGAGGCUGGACCGGCUGACCUUCGGCUGCAGGGGCGUGUCCGGAGGCAGCCAGCAGAGCCCAGCAGAUGAGUGGCCAGGACAGCCCAGUGCCACCAGCCUGCUGCCCACCAUGAGCCAAGCAGAGCUGGUGACUUGUGCCCUGGGGCCCUGGGGUCCAGGGGUCAUUGCCAUGCGGCGUGUAAGUGCUCAAUAAAUGUCUCUGCUGUGCGCCAAGCAUGUGGGCCUGGUGGCUCCUAGGGCAGGGCCAGCCGGACACUGGCCAGGUGGCGUCCUGUCACCCUGUGGGAGUGGCGCUCACAGCUCGGGUUCACUGGGCCGAGCUGGCGGAGGGCAGAUCUGGGGGCAGGGCUUCCUGGGCCUGCAGCUCCGGCCCUGGCCCCCAGCCAGCUCUUCCACGGCUGCGGCAGGACUCCUGGCAGGACAGAGCUGGGUCCCAGUCUGUCCUCAGUCCUGGCCCGGCUGCCCGGCACCUGGGCCUCUGGAUGGUAAUCUCGCCGACCCACAGGGCCACCCACGGUUCCUGCUGGCUCUCCCCUCAGCUGGUCCCCUCCCCAGCACAGACGGUCCCUGGAGCAGAGCCCGGGACAGCAGUUCUCACGGGACAGGCUGGCUGGGAGCAGGGACAGAGCCAUCUGGAGGGUCUCUGGGCCGAGAACUGUACCGGGGAGGGUUCUGUCUCUGAAAGGCAUCCCUGAGUCCCCUACUUGAGUCAGGGCUCAGCAAGAGGAAGGGCUGGUUAGAAAGUGAAAGGUGGCGGCUGCAUCCUCAGAGCAGAGUGCAGGCUGCAUCCGUCCUACAGAGGGCUUCUGGGACCUCAGGCUCUUCCUCUAAAGGAAACCUGGUGUGGGGCGGCCAUGGGAAGGAUGUGGAAACGGCAUCAGCUGGGCGCUGGUGGCGCUGGUGGAGGCCUGGCCUCUGGGAUCUUCAGGAUGUCACUUGUCUCCUUGAUCUGAUCAACAGGUACACGCGCCCGGAUCAUAGGUUUCUUAAAAUAUACUGCUGCGUGAUCUAAUCUGAAAGUCCAUGCCGGAGCCGACCAGCUCUCGUAAGCAGGCGAACCAGGUGAUUUUCAUAGACCAGCAGGGCUUCAUAGCACGAAGAUUUACAGAUUUCUCAGGAAGCUAGGAGUGACUGUCAGGAGGGACGGGCCAGGGGCCGGGGUGGCUGCUCAGGUCUGGCCUCCGUCCUGGUCCCUUUGUCCUUCCUCGGAUUCCUUCUGUCCUUUCUUCCUUUUCUGCUCCACCUCAUCUUCAUCGGGAGCCAGGCCGGCUGGGGGGUGGGGGGGUGUUACAGACACAGCUUUUCUUCAUUUUUAUUGUGGUAAAAUAUCUAUUGCAUAAAAACCACUGCAUUAGCCACUGUGAGGUCCAAGGUCUGGUGUUAGUGACACUUGCCACGAGACAGUUCCUGGGGCUCCUGUCACCCUGAACAGUGGCCCUGUCCCUGGCCCUGUGGAGCAGUAACCGCCACUCCCCUGGCCUGGCCAUGGCGCCCUAACCCUCCUCUCCUCUAAGCUGGGUCUCCUCAUGGGCACCCCUGGCUGCCAGCUUCUUGCCCUUGGCAUAACACCCUCAAGGCUUAUCCACGCAGUGGCCGAGGCCAGAAGUCCCUCGCUUCCUGCCCUUUCCAUGAUGUAAAUGGGCUUCCAUUUUGAGCCCUGGGCAUGCGCAGUAGAGAAGGCACCCCGGCCCCGGGAGGCAGGGCUGGCCCAGCAGGAGCUCCAGGGUCCCUGGGGAUGCACUGCUGCUGGAGGGGGAAGCAAAGCAUUGUGGGCCACCAGCUCAGCAGGUGCAAAGGCCCCGUGGGGGAGGCCGGCUGUGUCUUCCGAUGCGUGGGUUACAGAUUAAGUGUUUGUGUCUCCCCCACAUUCGCAGGUUGGGGUCCUGACCCUGUGUGUGACGGUGCCGGGAGGCAGAGCCUGUGGGAGGGGACAAGGUCAUGACGUGGGCCCCCACGGGGGGUGGUAACUUCAAGCCGGGACCCUAGAGAACUCCCUGGCCAGUUUCCGCCCCGUGAGGACAUCUGGGGAGCAGCAGCCCUCACCAGAGUGGAAUCUCUGGGGCCUCCACCUCGGGCCUCAGCCUCCAGAGCCGUGAGCACCACAUUUCCUGCUCCUCGGCCACCAACGGGACCCCGCAGGACAGUGUGGCCUCAGAGCCGCGUUCAGCCCACGGCGGGAGCUCUCUGCCCAGUGACGGAGGGCAGGGCCACGGCCAGGCCCGUCCUGGGCUGCUCUCACAGCAGGUCUGGCCCUGCAGACAGUCCUGGGAGGGGAGCGGGCAGAAUGAACAUGGCCAAUGGCCAUCCUGCCUCAAGAGUAAAGUCCCUGUACAAGAACACGAAUAACCAAAAGCCGGUUCCUGUUGACCCUGAGCGCCUGGAUCCAGCUGUACUUGAAGGAGGAAUGAAUGAGACUUUCAGAUACGAGAUACGGAGCUCCUGGCUCCUGCCCUGGGGUGGAGCCUGCGGUGCCCGGGCUUUCCCUGGGCCUCCCUCCCCCCAGCCUGGACCCCUCACGCAGGCCCCGAGGGAGUCAGGACAGCCUCCCCCGCCCUCCCCCCUGCCCGCUGGGCUCCUGGGCGAUACAUCCUAAUGUAUAUUUAACAGUGGUUCAAAAUCGAAUUAAUUUAGCUGGUUAAUAAACUGUAACAUCCGUUUCUAAAUCGGG